ensembl:misc_RNA Metazoa_SRP Metazoan signal recognition particle RNA
UCCAGGUGCAGUGGCUUAUGCCUGUAAUCCCAAUACUUUGGGAGGCUGAGGCAGGAGGAUUGCAUGAGUCCAAGAGUUCCGGGAUGUAGUGUGCUAGUUUGGCAUCCAUAUGGUAACUUCUUGGAGAGCGUGGGACUACCAGGUUGCCCCAGGGGGUGUGAACCGGCCCAGGUUGGAAAAUGAGCAGGUCAAAGCUGAUCAGUGGUGGGAUUGCAUCUGUGAGUAGCCACUGCCUUCCAGCCUGGGCAACAUAGCAAGGCCUUGUCUCUU